rnacentral:rRNA from 1 species
CCUACGGGUGGCAGCAGGAGGGAAUAUUGCUCAAUGGGGGAAACCCUGAAGCAGCAACGCCGCGUGGAGGAUGAAGGUUUUCGGAUUGUAAACUCCUUUUGUUAGAGAAGAGAAUGACGGUAUCUAACGAAUAAGCACCGGCUAACUCCGUGCCAGCAGCCACGGUAAUACGGAGGGUGCAAGCGUUACUCGGAAUCACCGGGCGUAAAGAGGGCGUAGGCGGGAUAGCAAGUCAGAUGGGAAAUCCUAUGGUCUAACCAUAGAACUGCAUUUGAAACUGUAAUUCUAGAGUAUGGGAGAGGUAGGUGGAAUUCUUGGUGUAGAGGUGAAAUCCGUAGAGAUCAAGAGGAAUACUCAUUGCGAAGGCGGCCUGCUAGCACAUAACUGACGCUGAUGCGCGAAAGCGUGGGGAGCAAACAGGAUUAGAUACCCGAGUAGUC